rnacentral:rRNA from 1 species
CCCUUAGAUGUCCGGGGCCGCACGCGCGCUACACUGAAGGAAUCAGCGUGGCUUUCUCCCUGACCCGAAAGGGUUGGGAAACCCGUUGAAUCUCCUUCGUGAUAGGGAUUGGGGCUUGAAAUUGUUCCCCAUGAACGAGGAAUUACCAGUAAGCGCGAGUCAUAAGCUCGCGUUGAUUACGUCCCUGCCCUUUGUACACACCGCCCGUCGCUACUACCGAUUGAACGGUUUAGUGAGGGCCUCGGAUUGGUCUCGGCCCGCUCUUUACCGGGCGGCGCCGUUGGUCGAGAAGACGCUCGAACUUGAUCGUUUAGAGGAAGUAAAAGUCGUAACA